UACGAAGGGUGCAAGCGUUACUCGGAAUUACUGGGCGUAAAGCGUGCGUAGGUGGUUUGUUAAGUCUGUUGUGAAAGCCCCGGGCUCAACCUGGGAAUGGCAAUGGAUACUGGCAAGCUAGAGUGCGGUAGAGGGUAGUGGAAUUCCCGGUGUAGCGGUGAAAUGCGUAGAGAUCGGGAGGAACACCAGUGGCGAAGGCGGUUCUCUGGGCCUGACCUGACGCUGAGGAGCGAAAGCGUGGGGAGCGAACAGG
rnacentral:rRNA from 1 species